GAUGAAGAACGUAGCGAAAUGCGAUAAGUAAUGCGAAUUGCAGAAUUCAGUGAGUCAUCGAAUCUUUGAACGCACAUUGCGCCCUGUGGUAUUCCGCAGGGCAUGCCUGUUCGAGCGUCAUUUCAACCCUCAAGCUCCGCUUGGUGUUGGGCCCUGCCCCCGCGGCCGGCCCCAAAGACAGUGGCGGCGCCGCUUGGCCCUAAGCGUAGUACAUCUCUCGCUCUAGGACCCGGCGGUGGCCUGCCAGAACCCCAAACUCAUGUGGUUGACCUCGGAUCAGGUAGGGAUACCCGCUGAACUUAAGCAUAUCAAUAAGCGGAGGA
rnacentral:misc_RNA from 1 species